ACUUGAAUCAUGAAUAUACAAGAGAAGACAAAGUCAUGGUCACUGCUCUCCCAGUGCUCUUACUCUAAGAUAUUAUUAAGCCUUCCACAAGAAUUCAGCCAAGUCAACAAGAGGAAAUAUCAAAACUGUGGCAGGUUGCCUUCCAAGACAGAAGGGAUUCCCAGGGCAGAGGUGAUCUACAAGCCAGGAAGACCCGGCUUACUGGAGGUGUGGAUGCAGUGUGGUUUCCCGGGGAGGCUGCCAACCAGGCGCCCAGCACAGGUGUUUUGCCCAAAGAUCCUGCUGCCUCAGCCUAACACACGGUGAGUGAGGCCGCCCAUCUUUGAAAUAAGGAAUCCUGGGAUUGCUCAGAGUAUAACUUGAGAACCUCCAACCUAAAGAAUUAAAAUAAUGGAACUGUCUCCCUCUUUGUCACGUCGGGGCUCAGACUAAACAGUAAGGAGUUUACUCAAACAUAGGCACAAAUUCGCCUCACCAAGGCCUGUAAGACAUUGAACUCAUUGGCUCCACACCAAGGAAUUCAUCCCCAUGGGCAGGAACAGAGCCAGAUACAAAACAUGGCCCCUGAGGACAGCAUGAGCUGCCUAUGCUUCAUUGGACUUCGUAGCCUCGGCGCCUGGCAUCGUGUUAGAGACACCUGCCAAGAGGCCACACCACAAGAAGCAUAGACACCGUCUGGAAUGCAGUAAGAUCUGACUUCAGGAGCCCUGGAUCCGGGAACUUGCUGCUGGGAGGCAGAGCCCAGGGGGAGGCACAGGUUGGCCUGUUUGCCAUUUUACAAGCUGAGAAACUGAGGCUCCCAGUGGAACGGCCUACUGUGUGCUGGGCACUGUGCCAAGUGCUGAGACAGAGAAUGAGUGGAUUCAAAGGGCAAGACGGGCAGGGUUUGAGCCAGAAAGAUCCUCGGGGCGUGCUGCAGGAAUAACAGACUGAGCUGGCAGCGCAGAGGAGAGGAGAGGGAAAGAGACAGAGAACAUGUUUUAAGCAGUGUCGCCCAAAAUUCCCUUACUCACAAACCACCUUCAGGAUUUUUGCAUGUCCUAAAACCACCUGUAUUAUUGUUUAUUUAAUAUUUUUCUUUAGAUGAGUCACUUUUUUACUUUAAGUUAGCCUCAUCCCAAGCAAUAAUAUUGGUGAAAGUCACUGUUUAAUGAG
rnacentral:lncRNA from 1 species